rnacentral:misc_RNA from 1 species
AAGUCGUAACAAGGUUUCCGCUUUGGCAAAGCUCCUGCCCGAGUGUACGGUCUACAGGAAUCGUAGAAGCGCUAUCCUUGCACAAUCAAUGACACUUUCCGACACUGACUGCUUGGAGAAACAUUGCCUAUAGAACUACCGCUCGAUUGUAACUGUUCCAAUGUUCGCACGUAGCCAGAGGUCUCUGAAUCACUACAACUUUCCGGGCUAUGAUUUAUCAGAGAUUGCGAACUACGCGGGUUACAAGAGCAGGAUGAAGGUUCACGGGGGGGGUUUUAACGUUUGGAUACGUGUUAAUGAUCCUUCCGCAGGUUCACCUAGGUCCCCAUGCCCCCUAAUAACCCCACAGUUUAAUGUGAAGCUCAAUGUAAUACAUUGGGUAAAAAAACCGAACAACUGUUAACAAUGGAUAUCUUGGUUCUC